UUCAUUAGAGAUUAUGCUAAGCCAGCAAAACCCCUGCAAAAAUUCUUCGAGUGAAAAGCCAGUUGUGUUCGAUAGUAACGCCUUGACUGCUUUCAAUAAUAUCAGAUCCGCACUGACAUCCAAAGAAGUAAUACUAUCAUAUCCCAAUUUCUAGAUGCCGUACUUCAACAAUCUGUAAAACCUAUAACAUUCAUAUCCAGAUCACUCAAUAAAACAGAGGAAAUUAAUCCUCAAAUGAAAAAGAAAUGCUGGCAAUAAUUUGGGCUCUCAUCUCUUUAAGAACCUACCUAUAUGGAUCCGUAAAAAUUGUAAUCUUCACAGAUCACCAACCACUGUCCUUUGCACUAAGUAACAAAAACCACAAUGGAAAAAUGAAAUAUUUCACAGGUACACUAUUACAAAACAAAGUUAUUCUGACCAAGACAUCAUAGACAUUUUCAAACGCUACUUCGACCCCGCACUCGUCAACGGACUGUACACCGCAGAAAGACUGAUGGGCAGAAUCCAAGAGAUAUUCCCAUUUCACUUGAGUAAUAUUAAAAUUCGUUAUACUCAAACUUUAUUCGAGGAUGUUACAUCAGAUACUGAACAGGAACAAAUCCAAGAACAUCAGCGAGCUCAUGGAUAUAGCCGUGAAAGAAAGCUCAAAUUCUACGCAAAUUCUACUUCCUAAGAAUACAUCCAAAAAUUGAACAGCUCGUAAAAAAAUUUCAACUUAUCGUGCACAGAAAUACGAUAGACAUCCAACAAAAAUGCAGAUUCCGCUGACCCCCAUUCCACAGUCUCCAAUCGAAAUAGUUCAUGUCGACAAUUACUCAACGGAAAAAAAUUAACUCUUACCGCCAUUGACAAAUUUUCUAAAUAUGCCCAUGUGAAAGUGAUAACUUCCAGAGCAAUAGAGCACAUUACAGACCCAAUCAGAGAAUUAAUGAUCGUGUUCGGAAUACCAAAAUUUGUAACAAUUAACAACGAAAAAUCUCUUAAAUACGCUUCAACCUCAUCCUUAUUCAAAGAUCAAAUGACCAUUGACCUUUACACCACACCGCCUUACAAUAGCACAAGUAAGGGACAAGUAGAAAGCUUUCACAAUGUACUUUCCGAAAUCAUGAGAUGCCUGAAAGCAAAUCAAAGGGCGAGGACAUUUCAAGAACUUCUAUUCAAAUCAGUACAAGAAUACAACUCCUCAAUACAUUCAACGACAAAAACGGCCCAAUGUUAAAACUGUCAAAAAUAUGGACACACAAAAAACUUCUGCUCCAAAAUCUCAAUAUGCGUUAAAUGCGCAGGAGAACACAAAACCAGCGAAUGCAAAUUAAAUAUGGAUAGCAGUAAGAUUAAAUGCGCUCUUUGCGGAGAAAAUCAUCAAGCGUCUCCAAGUACUAAGACCAAAAAGCACAACAUUAAAUGCCGAUGAGCUUCCAAAGUAAGCACUAAAAGAAAGCACCAAAAUCUUCACUUGCAAAUGGUAACACCAAAUAAGACAUUUGCACAGGUAGUAGCCACGAAAACUGACUCUUCGCCCACAAAUAACGAACUCAACGAAAUUAAAACAAUGAUGAAGCAACUAACAUCCCAAAUGUCAAACAUGAUGACUAUUAUGACCCUGCUUCUUUCGAAAAUAGAUGGACAAAAUAAAUAAUCUGAAACUAGCUCUAUGGAAUGCAAAUGGCCUUGGUCAGCGCGUCUUGAAAUUUAAAAUUUUCUAAGAAAAAUUGAAAAUAGAAUAGACAUCCUAUUAGUUUCAGAAACACACUUUACAGAAAAGAGCUACAUACAAAUUCUAGACUACAAUAUAUUUUUCACCAAUCAUUCGGACAAAAAGGUACAUGGGGGCUCAGCUAUCAUAUUACGAAAAGCAGUCAAAUGUGUUGUAAUAGAACCGUACAAAAAAGAUAACAUCCAAGCUACAUCUGUCCAAAUUGAAGACCAAAUCGGGCCUCUGAUGAUAUCAGCUGCAUAUUGUCCACCGAAACACAACAACUCGACGACGCAAUACUUCGAUUAUCUCACAACUCUCGGCAGCAAGUUUAUUUGCGGAGGUGACUAUAACGCAAAAAACACAGCAUGGGGAUCAAGACUAACAAACAUCAAAGGAAAAAAAAUCUAAUGGAUGCAAUACAAAAAAGUACAAGUGACUACAUAAGUGCAGGUGACUACCUACUGGCCUACCGAUAUGAAUAAAAACCCAGAUCUUAUCGACUUCUUUAUGUAAAAAGGUGUAUAUAGAAAUCACUUCACAAUUAAACCUAACUUCGACUUGUCGUCAGAUCAUUCACUAAUAUUUUUAUGGUAUCAAACAACUCUUGAGUCCCAAGUACAUUUCUCAAAAUUAUACAACAAAAACACAGACUGGGAAAUUUUCCGAGAAACUAUUAAAAACGCAAUUGACUGCAAUGUACCACUUAAAACUGAAGAACAAAUCGGCGGCGCUUCUGCGUUUCUCACCAAUGCAAUCAUUCACGCAAUAGCCUUAUCAACACCAACAGUCAAACACACAACCAAAAGAAAAUAUAUUGCGGACUAUAUUAGACAGAAGAUAAAACUAAAAAAAAAGUAAGGAAACAAUGGCAAACAACAAGACAUCCAGACGAUAAAACAAUCUUAAACAAAAUGACUAAUGAUAUUAAACAGAUGUUAAAGGAGUUUGAAAAUAAAAAGCUACAAUCGUAUCUGGCAAGUUUAGACUCUACAAAAAAUGACCAAUUCUCACUAUGCAAAGAGACGAAGAGCAUUAAUAAAACAACAAUUCACCAACAUGCAAUUCUUACCGAAAAUAGUAGGUGGGCUAAAACACAUUUGGAUAAAGCUUGCAAACUUGCGAAACACUUCAAAAAUACCUUCUACAAUCCAAAAAAUAGGCAACAAAAUAACUUCCCUGUUACGUUUGAAUUCAAAGAUGGGAAAAUCAGAAAAGGAACCAUACAUGAAAUACUGACAAAAAUUAAGAAUAUAAACAUCAAAAAAUCUCCAGGCUACGACAAAAGUAAUGGACAAACUAUAAAUAAUCUACCCGACAAUGGAAUUAAUUAUCUAAGGAAUAUAUUUAACUCGUCAAUAAGACUCAAAUAUUUCCCUUUACCUUGGAAAGUUUCUGAAAUAAUUUAAAUCAAAUAAAGAUGCCAAAAAGCCAUUAUUAUACAGACCGAUAAGUCUCUUGCCUAUUUUGUCGAAGCUAUUUGAAUGAAUGACCGCCUUGAUCCCCUAAUAUUAUACAAUCUAACGAUACAACAGGUACACAGAGUAACAAACAAAAUACAAAAUGAAAUUGACAACAAAAAUUAUUGCAGUCUAUCUUGACGUGGCUAAGGCCUUUGACAUCCCGGCAUCCCGGAAUAUUGCACAAAAUAAAAAAAAAUACUUCCAACUAACUAUUAUCUACUUUUGCGGAGUUGCCUUAAUGAAAGAUAUUUUUAUGUUAAAUAUCAAGACGAAUGCUCUGAUGCACUACGUAUGGAAGCAGAUGCUCCACAAGGAAGCGUUUCGGGGCCACUCUUAUACAUUAUCUAUACACAUGAUGUACCCGGCCCAAGUGACGAUAGGAUGAUUGCAGCUUUUGCCGAUGACACCGUUUUAAUGGCCUCUAAUAAAAACAUAAAUGUUGCCAAAAUAAGCUACAAAAGCUACUUAACACAACGCUGGCCGGGGCUCGAAGCAUCACAUUCGCGAACGUACCACUCGUCACUGAGAAAUGCAUAUUUCGGAGUUUGGCGUACGUGAACGUACCUUCUUAUUGUAGUUUCGUAUCAUGACAAUUGUGAACGAGUGCUGAACGUACUCGAUUGAUCAUACUGUCAUUCGAACACCGACAGCCGCUCGUAAACGACCAAAUUACAGCAAAGAUGACGAAUUUUAAUAAACUCAACCCCACCCAAAAAGAUCUGAUGGCGGAGUAUAUGGCCAACAACCCCGGCUUGGCAAAAAACCAACUGCCGAUUACCGCGCAAGGCAAAUAUACGACAGGUAGACUGUGGGAGGAGCUGGCAGCGAAAUUGAAUGCUAUUGGGCCCUCAGUUAAAGAUGCCAAGAUGUAGAGGAAGGUGUUUGCUGAUCAGAAGUAUCAGGCAAAAAAAAGCUUUCUUUCAACAAGGCUUCUAAACAGCGGACUGGUGGAGGACCUUUACCGAAAAGGUGAUUACUGCCAGACAGCAGUGAAUGCAAUGAGGAGGAGGCAAACUCUUGUCACAGCUCCUUACCAGGCCCAUCAAUAUACACUCCUGUCCGCACCAAAACUCCGCGAAGCAGAACACCGGGGAAAAAGAGUGGAAGUGACGAGAAGCUGGCGUUGCUCCAAGAAAAUUUUAAAUCUAUGCAUGAGUUCCAAAGGAGUUUGGACUCAAAAUUGGACAGACUGGUUCUAGCGCAAGAGAGAAUGUUGGCAAUAAAAGAGGAGAAACAUAGCAUCCAGCAAGCAACGCGCGAGAUUGACCUUGAAAUUAAAAGACUGCAACUAGAAGCCCUACGCGACAGCCUAGGGAAAUAAGUACCUGUUAUUUUAUAUUUUAGUUUUAAGUAUUUAUUGGGGAUUUUUUUUAUUUUAUAAGGUUUUGGAUUUUAUGUGAUUUACUUUAGUAUUCUUUAGUAUUUAAGUAUU